GAUGAACGCUAGCGGCAGGCCUAACACAUGCAAGUCGAGGGGUAGAGGAAGCUUGCUUCCUUGAGACCGGCGCACGGGUGCGUAACGCGUAUGCAAUCUACCUUAUACAGAGGGAUAGCCCAGAGAAAUUUGGAUUAAUACCUCAUAGUAUUAUGAAAUCGCAUGGUUUUAUAAUUAAAGUUCCAACGGUAUAAGAUGAGCAUGCGUCCCAUUAGUUAGUUGGUAAGGUAACGGCUUACCAAGACAAUGAUGGGUAGGGGUCCUGAGAGGGAGAGCCCCCACACUGGUACUGAGAAACGGACCAGACUCCUACGGGAGGAAGCAGUGAGGAAUAUUGGUCAAUGGACGCAAGUCUGAACCAGCCAUGCCGCGUGCAGGAUGACGGUCCUAUGGAUUGUAAACUGCUUUUAUACAGGAAGAAACACUCCCUCGUGAGGGAACUUGACGGUACUGUAGGAAUAAGGAUCGGCUAACUCCGUGCCAGCCGCCGCAGUAACAC
rnacentral:rRNA from 1 species